AUGCUUACUUCGGCACUACAUUUACUAAAAUUGGGAAGAUACAGAGAAGAUUAGCAUGGCCUCUACACAAGGAUGACACACAAAUCCAUGAAGUGUUGCAUAGGAAA
ensembl:snRNA U6 U6 spliceosomal RNA